AUACGGAGGGUGCGAGCGUUAAUCGGAAUUACUGGGCGUAAAGGGUGCGUAGGUGGUUAUAUAAGUUAUCUGUGAAAUCCCCGGGCUCAACCUGGGCAGGUCAGAUGAGACUGUAUGACUCGAGUAUAGGAGAGGGUAGUGGAAUUUCCGGUGUAGCGGUGAAAUGCGUAGAGAUCGGAAGGAACACCAGUGGCGAAGGCGGCUACCUGGCCUGAUACUGACACUGAGGCACGAAAGCGUGGGGAGC
rnacentral:rRNA from 1 species